rnacentral:lncRNA from 14 species
CUGAGGGAGUUAGGCUGCUUCCUAUUCAACACCGGGAAGAGCCAUGGCUAGUCCACAGCAAGGCAAUACUAAUUUUGAUCUUUCUGAUCCACCCGCUGUGGCCCAUAAACACCAUGGAGAGGAAGAAAUCCCUAUCUCCCGGCGCUUGAGAGACCGUGAGAUGCUCCGGAAAAGAAAGGAAAAAGCCCAGGAGAAGAACUCAGCUUACUGGAUUUAUAGGGAGCCAAAGAUCAAAAAGCAGAGGAAAAACAGAGGAGACAAGAAAGGAACGAGCUACCAGCCAGUGGUGGAACCCAAACCAGCAGCACAACUGAAGGUGGAAUCGGAGGUGGAACUGCAGGCAGGACAGUCAAAAGAAUCAGUGGAACAACACGUGGAAGAACUGGAAGUUUUCCAGCCCAAGCCUAAGGUGCAGGAGACGGCUGAGGCAGUGGCAUUCAAGCCAGCGCCACCUGAGCCAGUGCAACAGGAGCAGUCAUCUGUGCUGACUGCCCAGGGCCCGUGUGCUGGGAUACCAAUGGGAGGUGAUGAGGAGCUGCUGAAUCUGCCCGAAGCAGAGAUACCUGAUGAUCUGAAUGCUCCUCUGGAUAGCCUCUGCCAGGAUAAUGAACACAUUCCCUUUUUCUUUUAGUUUUCUGAUCAGGUGUUUUCCUGUUCAGGAUGUUUUGACUCCUGCCUAAAAAACUCCAACAGGUACUGCAGAGUGAUUUUGACCUGCUCUUUCCUUGUAACAAAGCCCAUACGCUCCUAGUCACUCUUUGCUCUUCUUUCAACUUAGAAUUAGGGCAAACAUACUCACUGCGCUCCUAGCUAGCUGGAGCUGCUUAGCUUGGGCUUUUUCCUGCACACAAUAAAACAGGCACAUGUUUCA